GGGGCUGACUGGAUUUGACAGCAGGAUGGAAUGUUGUGUAAGCACGCAGAGAGUUGAAGGCCGCUCUCUAUAAUCCCUGACUUUCAAAAAUUAAUUGGCGAAAAUACUUACGCUCUCGCUGCCUAAACGAAGUACAGUAGUUUACUGGCCUAAUCUCGGCACCAGGUGCUGAGACGAGACAUCGCUCAGAAGCUCUUGUUCCGAAGCGUCUGGUAAAGCGGUGCUGGAAAUUCGGGAAUAGUCGCAGCCUUGCCUCGCAGCUGCGAUGAAACUCUUGAGGCUAAGGCAUUGGUUGGUGGUCCGGGUCUUGCCAAUGCUCGAAAACCGAAGGCCGGAAUAAGCGUGUAGAAAGCACAGGGUUUCCCUGUUUGGACGAGGGUUCAAUCCCCUCCAGCUCCACU
rnacentral:tmRNA from 1 species